AAUACCGUCUUCGGUUAACCUUCGUAUGUCCAUCUUUUGCUAUCGUAUAUACUUUCGGCACCCUCGUAUAGACUUCGUUAUUCAUCGUACUUGCUUCGGUCACUUUUGGGUAUUUUAAAGAGAUCGGGACCAACUUCGUACGAACUUACAAUUUUCGCAUUCGGGUGUCCAUCGUAUAUAAAAAUCGGGACAGUGUGACGCGGGCAUAAGUGAAUUGUUA
rnacentral:lncRNA from 1 species